UUUUCCUGGUUUUAAACUCAGGCCUCAGAAAGAGAACUAAUUCUCCUGCUGGAAGUUUCUAGACAGGUCAGACUCUGAUUCUCCAUUGUUAAUGUCGAAAGGAUCUGGACUCCAACAUGUAAAUGAGCUAGAAAGCGUCAGCGUCACGUCUUCGUCACGGUAUUCACACCGCCCUGUGUAGAGGUGGGAACUGAAAGCCCUUCGCUUCUUUCGUGUCCGCCAUUUUAAAGAACGCAGGUGGUGGCUCGUGAAGGUUACAGCGUUCUCUCAGUAUAGCAAAAGAAUUAAAGUCAUGUUGAUAAACCACUUUAAACAUUCCUGGAACCUGAUUUUCUGCUACAGAACAAUGUUAAUUGUUGACCAUUUAAACAUCAGUGUCCUCACAUGGAGAUUUUUAAAAGGACCGUCGUCUGACCUGGAGGAGUUACUGAGAUCUUUACGAUUCUUCAAAGUCGUCACUAUUUACCUUGAGAACAGCUUUGCACACUCUUGGCAUUAUCUGAACCAGCUUCAUGAGGUCGUCUCCUGGAAUGCUUCUCAAUUAACAGGUGUGUCUGUCAAAAAUGGAAUUUCUUGCCUUCUUAAUGCAUUUGACACCAUCAACCAGUAAAGAGUAAAUAAUAAAAAUACAGUAAAUAGCCCUGUUCGACAACUGUAGUAAUCCAUAUUAUGUCAAGAACCACUCAAAAAAGUAAAGAGAAAUAAGUCAGUCAUUACUUUAAGACACGAAGUGUCUUUUUGGCCUCUUCUGCCACUCGGACCUGCUUGAUCCAUCCUGGUGCCCUGUGUCUGGUUGGAGUUUUAUCGCACAGCUCCUGUGAAGGACGGCCCCAUGAGGACAGUUGAGGGAUAUACCUGUUAAAACUGUUAAUAUUAUAGUCAGGCUGUCUGUUGUUGCCCAAAUGAGGGCCCAAAUGAGGAUGGGUUCCCUUCUGAGUCUGGUUCCUCUCGAGGUUUCUUCCUCAUGUCAUCUGAGGGAGUUUUUCCUUGCCACCAUCACCACAGGCUUGCUCAUUGGGAAUAGAUUAGGGAUAAAAUUAGCUCAUGUUUUAAGUCGCUCAAAUUCUGUAAAGCUGCUUUGCGACAAUGUUUAUUGUUAAAAGUGCUAUACAAAUAAACUUGAUUUGAUUUUAGUUAAUUAAAAUAAAGAAAAAACAUCAAAUUUGAAGGUGUUUCCAAACUUUUGACUGGUACUGUAUAAAAAAAUCUCAUCUCAUUAUCUGUAGCCGCUUUAUCCUGUUCUACAGGGUCGCAGGCAAGCUGGAGCCUAUCCCAGCUGACUACGGGCGAAAGGCGGGGUACACCCUGGACAAGUCACCAGGUCAUCACAGGGCUGACACAUAGACACAGACAACCAUUCACACUCACAUUCACACCUACGGUCAAUUUAGAGUCACCAGUUAACCUAACCUGCAUGUCUUUGGACUGUGGGGGAAACCGGAGCACCCGGAGGAAACCCACGCGGACAUGGGGAGAACAUGCAAACUCCGCACAGAAAGGCCCUCGCUGGCCACGGGGCUCGAACCCGGACCUUCUUGCUGUGAGGCGAGAUAAAAAAUAUCUCGCCUGUAUAAAAAAUAAAUAAAUAUUACAAAAAAUUUACAAAUCAACUGCAUUCGGUCCUCUCCAAAAUAAAAUAAAGCUCUGGGCAAGUAUGUUUUGGGUGCUGCUUGCCAACUGGGCAAGUAAGGCUGGGAGAUUUUUUUUUUUUUUCCAAGGACUGGAUAGCAUGGGGUUAUAUUAUAUAUCAAUGGCUUAUUCAGCCAAUUCUCUUAGAGUUUCUAAAUUAAUUUAAAGAUAUUGUGAAACUGCAAUACAUUCUAUUUACCACAUUAAUCCUCUGUAGCAAUUUUUGACUUUUGUUUUAUACACACGAAAAUGUAAAUUGCUUUGCAUUGUUUAUGAUUCAGAAAUUUUAAAAAGGAGUUUAUUCAGUCAUAAUUUUUCUUCAUUCAAAUUUUAUUGUAAAUAUUCUGAGAAUCUAAUGUAGGGUGAGGCUAUUGUACCUUUAUUAUGUAACUUUAAAUGAUUAGUUGAGGUACAGCAGUAUUCCUGAAGGUAACUGUGUUCCUAAAAUCAUUUUUAAAGGUAAACUGCAUUCAGGUUACCAUGGAAAUAAAUACAAGCUAAAUGUGCAAUAGAUUGUAAGAGAUUAAUUUAGGGUAUAUUAAGCUGUGGAGAGUUUUGGAGAGAAUCAGCCCAGUGACAAGGGAGAAAAAAUCAUUUUGUCCUCUUUCCUAACAGAAAAAAAGCACACUGCAGUCCUGUAAAAUACCAUGAAAGCUGUUUUUCAGUGGAAUGAUUCCACACCAUCACUGGAGUAUCACAGUUCACAUGCAGUUCCAGUACAUUAGACCUUUAGCAGAUGUCCUUAUCCAGAGAGACUUACAGCUUACCCUGAGGAGCAGUGAGGAGUUUGGUGCCUUGCUCAAGUUCAAGAAAAUAUAUUCAACACACCAAGGAUAUGAAUCUUAGAAUCAAGCUUGUGUUACAGAGCUAAGGGGUGCUAGGGUUAUUAAAUAUCCAUUUUCACCUUCUUCAUGACUAACUUACUUCCUCAGACUGUUUAUUUACAGAGAGUUCCUACUGUUGUGAAGAAAAGACUGAGACUUACAGCAAAACAGGAAAAGAAGAGUCCAGAGAAUAGUUUUUCCUGGGAAAAUAUUCACCACAAUUUCAUUUUCAGCCAUAAUUUGGGUUUUUCAGUCCACCAUUUUUCCUGCUGUCUGUCCUUCACUUCAGUUUGUGAAGAAUUCAGUGCUGGAAGAGAGUCGGCAUGUGUUGGGGGAGGGGGAGCUGAUGGGUGUGUUAUGGAAGGCCAAAAAGGUCAAAAUGGUCUUAAACAUUGUAACUGAAGAAAUAAUUCAUCAAUUUAAAGCAUAUAUGCAGAACCAUGGCUCCCAGUCAAAUCAUGUAUCUCAUACAAAAUUCUGCUCCUCACCUACAAAUCCCUCCAUGCACUUGCCCCACAGUACCUCUCUGACCUUCUCCAACCCCACUCCCAGUCUAGGUCCCUGCGGUCCUCUACCAAGGACCAGCUCUCCAUCCCCCGUACCAGGCUGCGGACCAUAGGGGACAGCCUUUUGUGUAGCUGCCCCCACUCUCUGGAACAGUCUACCACUCCACAUACGCCAUGCCCCCACACUGAUGUCUUUCAAAAACACAUGUUUACUGAGGCCUUUGGUCUCUAACUGACCCCCCCCCCCUCCCCAUUUCCUCCUGUAAAGCGACCUUGGGUACCUUGAAAGGCGCUAUACAAAACUAAGUUAUUAUUAUUUAUUAUUAUUAUUAUUAAUGUGCGGCUCACCCGUUGGUAUCUGGCACUCCAGCCCUUUAACUUCAAGGUGAGCCACAGGCCGGGGGUGCAGAUGGUCGUGGCGGACUUCCUCUCCCGUCAAGGGGGGGGGAGUCGGCUGCAGGCCAGACGGCUCCACAGCCUGAGUCGGGCAGUGGGGGUAUGUGGCAGCAGGGGCGUGGUCAAGUGUUGGUCUGUGACCAGAGGGCGGAGUCAGGGAAGGUAAGUGGCAGAAUCACUGCACAUGAUGUCAGUUAACCUGUGUUUGUGUGUCUUCCCCAGUGACUGUGCCCUAUAUAACGAGAGAGAGAGCAGAGGAAGGGAGCUCUCUCCCCAUCCAGACGACUGAUGUGUGUGUGCGUGUCUGUGUGACUGGGAAGAGUGAAAAAGCUGAAAAUAAAGAGUUUUUUUGAAACUCA